UACGUAGGGGGCAAGCGUUGUCCGGAUUUAUUGGGCGUAAAGAGCGUGUAGGCGGCCACACAGGUCUGCUGUGAAAACUCGAGGCUCAACCUCGAGCUGUCGGUGGAAACCGUGUGGCUAGAGUCCGGAAGAGGAGAGUGGAAUUCCCGGUGUAGCGGUGAAAUGCGCAGAUAAUCGGGAAGAACACCCGUGGCGAAGGCGGCUCUCUGGGACGGUACUGACGCUGAGACGCGAAAGCGUGGGGAGCGAACAGG
rnacentral:rRNA from 1 species